rnacentral:lncRNA from 1 species
UAAUCCCUUGGUUACUAAAGAAAGAUGCACCCUCAAUGCUAGACCCCAAUUCCAAAGCAUUGUCACUUCUAACAAUUUGAACCACAACAUUAAACUGGAUUUUAACCAUACACAGAAAUGAUUUAGGUAGGCAGAAGGCAUUGCUUUUAGACCCCAGUAAGUGUGUCCAGGUAGCCCUAGAGAAAUCAUCAACNNNNNNNNNNNNNNNNNNNNNNNNAUUUACAUUGGAAGGUAAAGCAACAUCUUUAUGGCAACCAGUAAAAGAAGAAUUGUCAUGAUUACAAGAGUCAGAUUUAGAGUAUACAAAAGUAGAUGAACAACCAGUAGAGCAAGAAGGGGAAGUUGGAGCCCAAGCAAGCUUGUAUAGACCAUCCUCCUCUCUACCAAGAUCCAGAGGCUUCCUCAGAGAAGGUCCUGUAUCAUAUGGAGGAAGCAGCAAGUUGCAGUGAACAAAACUAUGCAAGGCAACUGUUUCACUAACUUGUGGACAGAAAUCAAGUUGUGUUUAGAAGAAGGGACUAACAAGACAUUGUGAAGGGUGAUGGAUGGAUUUAAUGCAAAGGAUCCUGUACAUGUCACUUUUACUUUAUAUCCAUUAGGAAGAGUCAGUGUUUUUGAUAGCGCGCGACGACAAAUAGCGACGAGGGCUCGCUUCAGUGAGGCGAGAGGCGCGCAGCGAAGCGCUCACCUUUUUGAUGUGAAGCGACAAUUUAUACAAAAACAAAAAAUAUUAUGUACAUCUAACUAAAAACUCAAUAACAAAAAUAUAUUAAUAAAUAUAUCAUUCAAAAACUAAAGACUCAAUAGAUAGUCAUAGACUCAUAGUAGAUUCAUAAAUUAAAGUCUAAUAGUCUAAAUUCUAAAACAAGCAACAUCAAUUCUUCUUCAACUCAAUAUUCAAUUAAUUCUACUCAAUAAGACUACAAAUCUAUAAUUGAAAAAACAGAGCUACAAAUAAAAUAAAGCUACUGCCUCUGCUCGAUUUUUAAAAACAGAGCAACCAACAAAAAAAAAUUAAAGCUAUUGCCUGACUGCUUCUCAAAUCAAAUAAAUUUAAGCAACUUAGCAGAAUUGCGGAUUAAUUUUUUGUUGUUUUAUCUGUGCAGGUUAAUUUAAGCAACUGGACGUGCAAAUUCUGCUCAUAAAGUGGCUCCUUCAGCGCCAGAAACAAGGCAUAUUUAAUUCAAUUGGUAAUACCAAUUUUGACUGGUAUUUCCCAAGACAAAUGAUCCUUGUCUCAAGAAGCUCACUGUUGCAUUUGAGCUUUAAAAAACGUGAAUGGCUUUUACGUUUCCAAAUGUAUAACAGCAUGCUGGACCCAAAAACGAGAUUGAGAGCUUCCAGGUAGUAAUUUAACAGCAUGACUGACUCUUUUUUUUUUACUGUUCACAGGUACGGAAAAAAAACAGUGUGACUGGAGUGAAUACUUUUUACUGUUCAAUGGUACUGGUCGAAAAAACAGAGGGCUCUAUUUUUUGACACUGAAAAAAAAAAUUGUCGACUGGUCGACUGGAAGAAGAAGGGAAAAAGAAGAAAAAAGAAAGAGAGAAGAAGGAAGAAGGAAGAAGGAAGAAGGAAGAAGGAAGAAGGAUGUUUCAUGUUUGAAAAUGAAGUAUGAGCAAGUCUCAAAUGCCAAAUGUAAUUCAUGUCAGUUGCAGCAACAUUAUUACAGAUGGAACUAUUUACAUUGGAAGGUAAAGCAACAUCAUUAUGGCAACCAGUAAAAGAAGAAUUGUCAUGAUUACAAGAGUCAGAUUUAGAGUAUACAAAAGCAGAUGAACAACCAGUAGAGCAGGAAGGGGAAGCUGGAGCCCAAGCAAGCUUGUAUAGACCAGCCUCCUCUCUACCAAGAUCCAGAGGUUUCGUCAGAGAAGGGUCAUGUAUCAUGUGGAGGAAGCAGCAAGUUGCAGUGAACAAAACUAUGCAAUGCAACUAUUUCACUAACUUGUGGACAGAAAUCAAGUUGAGUUUAAAAGAAGUAACUAACAAGACAUUUUGAAGGGUGAUGGAUGGAUUUAAUGCAAAGGAUCAUGUGCAUAUCACUUUCACUUCAUAUCCAUUAGGAAGAGUUA